UACGUAGGGCGCAAGCGUUGUCCGGAAUUAUUGGGCGUAAAGAGCUCGUAGGUGGCUUGUUGCGUCUGCCGUGAAAGCCCGUGGCUUAACUACGGGUCUGCGGUGGAUACGGGCAGGCUAGAGGCUGGUAGGGGCAAGCGGGAAUUCCUGGUGUAACGGUGAAAUGCGCAGAUAUCAGGAGGAACACCGGUGGCGAAGGCGGCUUGCUGGGCCAGUUCUGACGCUGAGGAGCGAAAGCGUGGGGAGCGAACAGG
rnacentral:rRNA from 1 species